UGGGGAAUUUUGGACAAUGGGCGCAAGCCUGAUCCAGCCAUGCCGCGUGCGGGAAGAAGGCCUUCGGGUUGUAAACCGCUUUUGUCAGGGAAGAAAUCUUCUGAGUUAAUACCUCGGGAGGAUGACGGUACCUGAAGAAUAAGCACCGGCUAACUACGUGCCAGCAGCCGCGGUAAUACGUAGGGUGCAAGCGUUAAUCGGAAUUACUGGGCGUAAGGCGUGCGCAGGCGGUUUUGUAAGACAGAGGUGAAAUCCCCGGGCUCAACCUGGGAACUGCCUUUGUGACUGCAAGGCUUGAGUGCGGCAGAGGGGGGAUGGAAUUCCGCGUGUAGCAGUGAAAUGCGUAGAUAUGCGGAGGAACACCGAUGGCGAAGGCAAUCCCCUGGGCCUGCACUGACGCUCAUGCACGAAAGCGUGGGGAGCAAACAGGAUUAGAUACCCUGGUAGUCCACGCCCUAAAACGAUGUCAACUGGUUGUUGGGAAGGUUCCUUCUCAGUAACGUAGCUAACGCGUGAAAGUUGACCGCCUGGGGGAGUACGGCCGCAAGGUU
rnacentral:rRNA from 1 species